UACGUAGGUGGCAAGCGUUUGUCCGGAAUUAUUGGGCGUAAAGCGCGCGCAGGCGGUUCUUUUAAGUCUGAUGUGAAAGCCCACGGCUCAACCGUGGAGGGUCAUUGGAAACUGGAGAACUUGAGUACAGAAGAGGAAAGCGGAAUUCCACGUGUAGCGGUGAAAAUGCGUAGAGAUGUGGAGGAACACCAGUGGCGAAGGCGGCCUUCUGGACAGUGACUGA
rnacentral:rRNA from 1 species